rnacentral:lncRNA from 1 species
AGUGGGACCGAGCCUCUCUCUCUCUCUCUCUCUCUCUCUCUCUAUCUCUCUCUCUCUCUUUUUUUUCCCCCGGCAGAGAGAGGAAAACACGCGAGUGCACACACGGUGAUAUCUUGCGGGUGAUGAAUAUGAUAAUUGGACAAGGGACGGUGAGUCUGUGCGACAGCGAGCGAGCGAGCGGGGCGAGUGGGAGAGGGAGAGGGGAGAGAGAGGCGGGAGGGGAGGGGAGACGAGAGAAGAGGAGCAGGGGAGAGGCGAGGAGAGGGAAGAAGAGGAGAAGAAAAGAAGAGGAGCUAAGGGAAGAGGAGAGAGCAGGAGAGGAGGAGAGAGAAGAGCGGGAGGAGAGGAGAGAGCAGCAGAGGAGGAGAGAGGAGAAGGGUAAAGAAGAGAAGAGGAGCGAAGCGGAGAGGGAGCAGGCGGACCCGGCGAGAGCUCUUUUGCGCCGCUCUGCUUUCCCCGGCUGCAAUGGUGUAUUAUUUCAGAGCGCUCCCUCAGCUGAGGGCUCCGCUCCACAACAAGAUUUACUUUAAGACACAGCUGAAGGAAACAGGAAGACUGCACGUCACAGUCUAUCUGACGUACCCGGCCCCAGCACCCAAUCGCGAGGCGCCUUCGGAUUCAAGGGGGGAUAGCAAGCUUCGGGACGACUGGAUCGCCGCGCCUGGGCCGGAGCGAGCCAUCUGCGGGCACUAUGCAAAGCGGGAGACGGCGCGAGCGGCGCCCGGCUCACACUAGCUCUUCCAGGACGCAGGUCUUUUUUUUUUUUUUUCUUUUUCUUUUUUCAUUUCCCAGAUACAGCUGAUCGAGUUCGCCGAGUGGCCGAGCGAGUGAGCGCUCCUCCGACUUGGGUGGAGGAAGAUCCUAAACAAACCAAUUCUGAGAAUUACAACCAGAUUCAGUUGAGAGGCAAAAGUGGACGUGGAUUUUGGAAAAGGGUGCCUAAGGACUUCCAGGUCAGCCACCCACCGCUACCACCACCACCACCGCCACCACUACCACCAUCACUAUCAGCACCCUGAAGAAGGGAAGAGAGGAAAACCAACCCCAGGGUGCAGGCCUGCCUGCUGCAAGCUUUCUAGAGGCAAAACUGACUGACGGCCUCUCACUCUCAUCUCCUGUGCUCAGUGUGACGCCAAGCCCAACCUGGAUUUGUUCUGAAUGGGGGGGAAGUGAAAUGCCACAAGAUCAGUAGCAAGUAGCAGCUGCAGCGUUUUCUCUCCUGGGAACCCCACUGCUUAGAAGCCUCCUGAGUGAUGUUUGUUUAACCAACAGCUUUCAAAGUAAACAGAAGCCAAUCACUCCAAAGAAGUUGAAAUAUAACCCUUACAAGAAUUUGGAUCCAGGGGUGCUGGCAGAAAGAAAGUAAUUUUUAAAAUGAUAAAGAACCCACUCCCAAAUAAGAGUCUGCCACAUUGCUUUAAGGAGCGCAGAAUUGUCAUGAAAAUAUAAUUUCAUCGAAAGGGCUAAUUACAAUAAGUUGACCUCGAAGAAAAUCACUCUUCGCCCACAAAGACACACCCGCGGGGAUGAGGAGGUUGUCAGUGAUUGAAGGGACACACUACUACUUGAUUUUAUGGAAGUGGGCGAAAACAAUCAAAGGGAAGUACAUUCCCUGCCCUGGAGUAGUGAAGUGUAGGCUGGGAGCUCUUCGCCGCCAACCCUGGCUUUGCCUCAGGCACCGAACUUUCCAAUACCAAGAUAUUAACAGAUGGUGGUGAGCACAUGGAGGGCUGCUACUUACAUAAUCUAGCCACUCCGCCCGGCUGCCCAGAGCCCGGCGAGGAACCGGCCAGGCCGCGCGCGCGCCUUCCGAGGGGUGCUCCCUGACAUAACUUGCCUUUCUCCAACCCCACCCAUCGUUUUGAGGGUUAGCAUUUGGAGAGGCCGUGAUUUAAAAAAACCAAACAAAAAC